rnacentral:tRNA from 1 species
GAGGGUAUAGCUCAAGUGGUAGAGCACAUGCUUAACACGCAUGAGGUCCUGGGUUCAAUCCCCAGAACCUCU